rnacentral:rRNA from 1 species
AAAAAAGGUAAGCUACUAAGAGCGAAUGGUGGAUGCCUUGACUGGUAAAGGCGAUGAAGGACGUACUAGACUGCGAUAAGCUACGGGGAGCUGUCAAGAAGCUUUGAUCCGUAGAUUUCCGAAUGGGGCAACCCAAUGUAUAGAGAUAUACAUUACCUAAUAUAGGAGCGAACGAGGGGAAUUGAAACAUCUUAGUACCCUCAGGAAAAGAAAUCAAUAGAGAUUGCGUCAGUAGCGGCGAGCGAAAGCGCAAGAGGGCAAACCCAGUGCUUGCACUGGGGGUUGUAGGACUGCAAUGUGCAAGAGGUGAGUUUAGCAGAACAUUCUGGAAAGUAUAGCCAUAGAGGGUGAUAGUCCCGUAUGCGAAAAACAAACCUUAGCUAGCAGUAUCCUGAGUAGGGCGGGACACGAGAAAUCCUGUCUGAAGCUGGGUCGACCACGAUCCAACCCUAAAUACUAAUACCAGAUCGAUAGUGCACAAGUACCGUGAGGGAAAGGUGAAAAGAACUGAGGUGAUCAGAGUGAAAUAGAACCUGAAACCAUUUGCUUACAAUCAUUCAGAGCACUAUGUAGCAAUACAGUGUGAUGGACUGCCUUUUGCAUAAUGAGCCUGCGAGUUGUGGUGUCUGGCAAGGUUAAGCAAACGCGAAGCCGUAGCGAAAGCGAGUCUGAAUAGGGCGCUUAGUCAGAUGCUGCAGACCCGAAACGAAGUGAUCUAUCCAUGAGCAAGUUGAAGCUAGUGUAAGAACUAGUGGAGGACUGAACCCAUAGGCGUUGAAAAGCCCCGGGAUGACUUGUGGAUAGGGGUGAAAGGCCAAUCAAACUUCGUGAUAGCUGGUUCUCUCCGAAAUAUAUUUAGGUAUAGCGUUGUGUCGUAAUAUAAGGGGGUAGAGCACUGAAUGGGCUAGGGCAUACACCAAUGUACCAAACCCUAUCAAACUCCGAAUACCUUAUAUGUAAUCACAGCAGUCAGGCGGCGAGUGAUAAAAUCCGUCGUCAAGAGGGAAACAACCCAGACUACCAGCUAAGGUCCCUAAAUCUUACUUAAGUGGAAAACGAUGUGAAGUUACUUAAACAACCAGGAGGUUGGCUUAGAAGCAGCCAUCCUUUAAAGAAAGCGUAAUAGCUCACUGGUCUAGUGAUUUUGCGCGGAAAAUAUAACGGGGCUAAAGUAAGUACCGAAGCUGUAGACUUGACUUUGUCAAGUGGUAGGAGAGCGUUCUAUUUGCGUCGAAGGUAUACCGGUAAGGAGUGCUGGAGCGAAUAGAAGUGAGCAUGCAGGCAUGAGUAGCGAUAAUUAAUGUGAGAAUCAUUAACGCCGUAAACCCAAGGUUUCCUACGCGAUGCUCGUCAUCGUAGGGUUAGUCGGGUCCUAAGUCGAGUCCGAAAGGGGUAGACGAUGGCAAAUUGGUUAAUAUUCCAAUACCAACAUUAGUGUGCGAUGGAAGGACGCUUAGGGCUAAGGGGGCUAGCGGAUGGAAGUGCUAGUCUAAGGUCGUAGGUGCUUAUACAGGCAAAUCCGUAUAAGAAUACACCGAGAACUGAAAGGCUUUUUGAAGUCUUCGGAUGGAUAGAAGAACCCCUGAUGCCGUCGAGCCAAGAAAAGUUUCUAAGUUUAGCUAAUGUUGCCCGUACCGUAAACCGACACAGGUGGGUGGGAUGAGUAUUCUAAGGCGCGUGGAAGAACUCUCUUUAAGGAACUCUGCAAAAUAGCACCGUAUCUUCGGUAUAAGGUGUGGUUCGCUUCGUAUUAGGAUUUACUCCGAAAGCGAAGAAACUUACAACAAAGAGUCCCUCCCGACUGUUUACCAAAAACACAGCACUCUGCUAACUCGUAAGAGGAUGUAUAGGGUGUGACGCCUGCCCGGUGCUCGAAGGUUAAUUGAUGGGGUUAGCAUUAGCGAAGCUCUUGAUCGAAGCCCGAGUAAACGGCGGCCGUAACUAUAACGGUCCUAAGGUAGCGAAAUUCCUUGUCGGUUAAAUACCGACCUGCAUGAAUGGCGUAACGAGAUGGGAGCUGUCUCAAAGAGGGAUCCAGUGAAAUUGUAGUGGAGGUGAAAAUUCCUCCUACCCGCGGCAAGACGGAAAGACCCCGUGGACCUUUACUACAGCUUGACACUGCUAUUUGGAUAAGAAUGUGCAGGAUAGGUGGGAGGCUUUGAGUAUAUGACGCCAGUUGUAUAUGAGCCAUUGUUGAGAUACCACUCUUUCUUAUUUGGGUAGCUAACCAGCUUGAGUUAUCCUCAAGUGGGACAAUGUCUGGUGGGUAGUUUGACUGGGGCGGUCGCCUCCCAAAUAAUAACGGAGGCUUACAAAGGUUGGCUCAGAACGGUUGGAAAUCGUUCGUAGAGUAUAAAGGUAUAAGCCAGCUUAACUGCAAGACAUACAAGUCAAGCAGAGACGAAAGUCGGUCUUAGUGAUCCGGUGGUUCUGUGUGGAAGGGCCAUCGCUCAAAGGAUAAAAGGUACCCCGGGGAUAACAGGCUGAUCUCCCCCAAGAGCUCACAUCGACGGGGAGGUUUGGCACCUCGAUGUCGGCUCAUCGCAUCCUGGGGCUGGAGCAGGUCCCAAGGGUAUGGCUGUUCGCCAUUUAAAGCGGUACGCGAGCUGGGUUCAGAACGUCGUGAGACAGUUCGGUCCCUAUCUGCCGUGGGCGUAAGAAGAUUGAAGAGAUUUGACCCUAGUACGAGAGGACCGGGUUGAACAAACCACUGGUGUAGCUGUUGUUCUGCCAAGAGCAUCGCAGCGUAGCUAAGUUUGGAAAGGAUAAACGCUGAAAGCAUCUAAGCGUGAAGCCAACUCUAAGAUGAAUCUUCUCUAAGCUCUCUAGAAGACUACUAGUUUGAUAGGCUGGGUGUGUAAUGGAUGAAAGUCCUUUAGCUGACCAGUACUAAUAGAGCGUUUGGCUUAUCUUUAAUAAAGCAU